rnacentral:rRNA from 1 species
UACGUAGGGGGCAAGCGUUGUCCGGAUUCAUUGGGCGUAAAAAGCGUGUAGGCGGCCAGGUAGGUCGGUUGUGAAAACUGGAGGCUCAACCUUCAGAGGUCGACCGAAACCAUCUGGCUAGAGUCCGGGAGAGGAGAGUGGAAUUCCUGGUGUAGCGGUGAAAUGCGCAGAUAUCAGGAGGAACACCGGUGGCGAAGGCGGGUCUCUGGGCAGUAACUGACGCUGAGGAGCGAAAGCAUGGGUAGCGAACAGG